rnacentral:rRNA from 1 species
GACGAACGCUGGCGGCGUGCUUAACACAUGCAAGUCGAACGGAAAGGCCCUGCUUUUGUGGGGUGCUCGAGUGGCGAACGGGUGAGUAACACGUGAGUAACCUGCCCUUGACUUUGGGAUAAUUUCAGGAAACUGGGGCUAAUACCGGAUAGGAGCUCCUGCUGCAUGGUGGGUGUUGGAAAGUUUCGGCGGUUGGGGAUGGACUCGCGGCUUAUCAGCUUGUUGGUGGGGUAGUGGCUUACCAAGGCUUUGACGGGUAGCCGGCCUGAGAGGGUGACCGGCCACAUUGGGACUGAGAUACGGCCCAGACUCCUACGGGAGGCAGCAGUGGGGAAUAUUGCACAAUGGGCGGAAGCCUGAUGCAGCAACGCCGCGUGCGGGAUGACGGCCUUCGGGUUGUAAACCGCUUUCGCCUGUGACGAAGCGUGAGUGACGGUAAUGGGUAAAGAAGCACCGGCUAACUACGUG